GAUGAACGCUAGCGGCAGGCCUAAUACAUGCAAGUCGAGGGGUAGUGGUUGCUUGCAGCCAUGAGACCGGCGCACGGGUGCGUAACGCGUAUGCAACCUACCUUCAUCUGGGGGAUAGCCCGGAGAAAUCCGGAUUAAUACCGCAUAAAAUCACAGUACGGCAUCGUACAAUGAUCAAACAUUUAUGGGAUGGAGAUGGGCAUGCGUGUCAUUAGUUAGUUGGCGGGGUCACGGCCCACCAAGACCGCGAUGACUAGGGGAUCUGAGAGGAUGACCCCCCACACUGGUACCGAGGCACGGACCAGACUCCUACGGGAGGCAGCAGUAAGGAAUAUUGGUCAAUGAGCGCAAGCUUGAACCAGCCAUGCCGCGUGCAGGAAGACGGCCCUCUGGGUUGUAAACUGCUUUUAUUUGGGAAUAAACCUGCUUACGUGUAAGUAGCUGAAUGUACCGAAGGAAUAAGGAUCGGCUAACUCCGUGCCAGCCGCCGCUGUAACAC
rnacentral:rRNA from 1 species